GAUGAACGCUGGCGGCGUGCCUAAUACAUGCAAGUCGAGCGAACGGACGAGAAGCUUGCUUCUCUGAUGUUAGCGGCGGACGGGUGAGUAACACGUGGAUAACCUACCUAUAAGACUGGGAUAACUUCGGGAAACCGGAGCUAAUACCGGAUGAUAUUUUGAACCGCAUGGUUCAAAAGUGAAAGACGGUCUUGCUGUCACCUAUAGAUGGAUCCGCGCUGCAUUAGCUAGUUGGUAAGGUAAUGGCUUACCAAGGCAACGAUGCAUAGUCGACCUGAGAGGGUGAUCGGCCACACUGGAACUGAGACACGGUCCAGACUCCUACGGGAGGCAGCAGUAGGGAAUCUUCCGCAAUGGGCGAAAGCCUGACGGAGCAACGCCGCGUGAGUGAUGAAGGUCUUCGGAUCGUAAAACUCUGUUAUUAGGGAAGAACAUAUGUGUAAGUAACUGUGCAUAUCUUGACGGUACCUAAUCAGAAAGCCACGGCUAACUACGUG
rnacentral:rRNA from 1 species